AAAGGAAUAGACGGGGGCCCGCACAAGCAGUGGAUUAUGUGGUUUAAUUCGACGCAACGCGAAGAACCUUACCAGGUCUUGACAUCCCCUGACAUCCCCGGAGACGGGGAGUCCCUUUGGGCAGGGAGACAGGUGGUGCAUGGUUGUCGUCAGCUCGUGUCGUGAGAUGUUGGGUUAAGUCCCGCAACGAGCGCAACCCUUACCGUUAGUUACUACGAAAGAGGACUUUAACGGGACUGCCGUUGACAAAACGGAGGAAGGUGGGGAUGAUGUCAAAUCAUCAUGCCCUUUAUGACCUGGGCUACACACGUAAUACAAUGGCGUUAAAACAGAGGGAAGCAAAGGGGCGACCCUGAGCGAAACCCGAAAAAGCGUCCCAGUUCGGAUUGCAGGCUGCAACUCGCCUGCAUAAAGUCGGAAUUGCUAGUAAUCGCGGAUCAGCAAGCCGCGGUGAAUACGUUCCCGGGCCUUGUACACACCGCCCGU
rnacentral:rRNA from 1 species